UACGUAGGGAGCAAGCGUUGUUCGGAUUUACUGGGCGUAAAGGGCGCGUAGGCGGCAAUUCAAGUCAUCUGUGAAAUCUCCGGGCUUAACUCGGAACGGUCAGAUGAUACUGCUUUGCUAGAGUGCAGAAGGGGCAAUCGGAAUUCUUGGUGUAGCGGUGAAAUGCGUAGAUAUCAAGAGGAACACCGGUGGCGAAGGCGGCAUCCUGGACCGGUAUUGACGCUGAGGCGCGAAAGCCAGGGG
rnacentral:rRNA from 1 species